GUCUCUGUAGCUCAGCUGGAUAGAGCACCGCUCUCCUAAAGCGGGUGCCGGAGGUUCGAAUCCUCUCAGGGACGCCA
rnacentral:tRNA from 2 species